rnacentral:rRNA from 1 species
CCGCAUAAGCGCACAGCAUCGCAUGAUGCAGUGUGGAAAACUCCGGUGGUAUAAGAUGGACCCGCGUUGGAUUAGCUAGUUGGUGAGGUAACGGCCCACCAAGGCGACGAUCCAUAGCCGACCUGAGAGGGUGACCGGCCACAUUGGGACUGAGACACGGCCCAAACUCCUACGGGAGGCAGCAGUGGGGAAUAUUGCACAAUGGGCGAAAGCCUGAUGCAGCGACGCCGCGUGAGCGAAGAAGUAUUUCGGUAUGUAAAGCUCUAUCAGCAGGGAAGAUAAUGACGGUACCUGACUAAGAAGCACCGGCUAAAUACGUGCCAGCAGCCGCGGUAAUACGUAUGGUGCAAGCGUUAUCCGGAUUUACUGGGUGUAAAGGGAGCGCAGGCGGUGCGGCAAGUCUGAUGUGAAAGCCCGGGGCUCAACCCCGGUACUGCAUUGGAAACUGUCGUACUAGAGUGUCGGAGGGGUAAGCGGAAUUCCUAGUGUAGCGGUGAAAUGCGUAGAUAUUAGGAGGAACACCAGUGGCGAAGGCGGCUUACUGGACGAUAACUGACGCUGAGGCUCGAAAGCGUGGGGAGCAAACAGGAUUAGAUACCCUGGUAGUCCACGCCGU